UCACCAUCAUCAUCAUCAUCAUCGUCGGAAGAAGACGAAGAAGAAGAAGAAGAAGAAGAGAAACCAUCUCUCUCUCUCUCUCUCUCUCUCUCUCUCUCUAUUAUUUAUAGAGAUUAUAGAGAGAGCGAAGAGCUCGAUCUCUAAAAACCCUAAUCCCCUUUUUCGUGAGCUUCGACCGGUAAAAUCCCAGCUAGGGUUCGCUCGCUCAUCGGAGCUUCGGAGUGGGUGAAGUAGGGAUCGGUCGGAGUGGGAGGUGGAGAGGAGGUGUGGGAAUGGUCCAUUUGUGGUGGAUUUUAAGGGUUUGAGGAGGUUUAUUGUGCUCCGUAGCGGAGAAAAAGCUGCUUCUUUUGGUGAUCUCCUAUUUGAGGAUUGAAAUCAAAGGUUUCCGCAAUUCGAUCUUAAACUUGUUAUCAAAAAGAAUUACCUUUUUGAGGAUAGGAGGGAAAGAGAGAGAGAGAGAGAAAAAAAAUGCAAUCCAAAUCCCGAAUCUAUGCUGACCCAUUCCUCUCCCACGAAGACCAUUUCGAUCGGAUACCGGACUCCCUCGUUCUCCUCAUCUUCAACAAGCUCGCCGACGUUCGAUCGCUCGGCCGCUGCUUGUCCGUCUCGAAGCGCUUCAAUUCCCUCGUCCCCCUCGUGCACGACAUCUACGUCAAGAUCGAUCGCGUCAUCACGACCGAUGGCGGCGAUCCUGAUGAGACCUUCAACCUUUCGUCCCCCAAACCCCGGAACCUGAUCUCCCACCUCCUAAAGCUCAUGCUCUUCACCAUUCUCAAGCCCUUCAACAACCUCCAAAACCCAAAUGGCGGAAGCAAACCCCUUCUCCCGCAGCUCUCGCACCACUCUCCUGCCCAAGUCCUCAAGAACUUCGCCGACGUCCAAAAUUUGAAAAUUGAGCUCCCCGGCGGCGAUGUCGGGGUGGAGGACGGGGUCCUGUUGAAAUGGAAGGCGGAGUUCGGGAGCACACUGCAAAGUUGUGUGAUUUUGGGAGGUACGCGUGUGGAUCGGAAAUCGUUUUGCUCCGAUCAGGAUAGUCCAGUGGAAGACAAUAACAACGGGAGCAUGCCGGAGUCGUUCUACACGAACGGCGGGCUAAAGCUGCGAGUGGUUUGGACGAUUAGCUCACUAAUCGCCGCUUCCACCAGGCAUUAUCUUCUCCGACAGAUAAUUAAGGAGCACCCAACACUGAAAACCCUGGUUUUGACCGAUGCUGACGGACAGGGGACAUUGUGCAUGGGGGAAGAACAGCUAAAGGACUUCAGAGAGAAGCCGUUGGCGGCUUCUGCUUCAUCAAAUAGAACUCAGGUUCCGGCUUCUAACAUGAAACUGCGGUACGCCCCGCAUUUGGAGCUCCCGGGAGGAAUCGGAAUUCAGGGAGCAACAUUGGUGGCAAUCAAGCCGGCCGGUGAGGGAAGUAGUGGUAGCAGUAGUAGCCGGAGAGAAUUAGAGGCGCUCGUUGGUGGAGCGUUCGAUGGGCCAUUUAGGGCAGCGGUGAAAGCGCUCUUGAAGAGGAGAACUUACCUAUUAGAGAUGAAUGGGUUCUAGAUCAAUAUCGCAUCGAGGCCCGGGUUUCGCUCUUCGGCGUAGCUUACUUCGGUUUUGUUGUGCUUGUCGAACCGGGAAUCUACUGCUAUAUGCUGAGGUUUUGGUCUAUUAUGGCGUGGAGGAGUUGCUACCAACAUCCAUUUAAAUUUCAAAUUUAAAUUUGAUGGGUCCCACAUUUGAGGUAAUCAUGUUUUCUCCAACCCCCUUUGUUUAAUAACCAACUAGCUUUAUCACUUAAUCCAGGCCUUUCCUUUUCUCAUGAUGUUUGCAUUGGCCAAAAUGGUGGGGCCUCCUUAGGUGGCAUCACAAAUCAUAUGGAUAAUAUCUUAAAGAAUCUCUAGAAUAAUGAGUGUAAUAAUAAAAUAAUAAUAAUAUAUGUAUA